GAUUCAGAGAAAAUUUUGUAGAUCACUUGGUGAAUUGUUAUUGUUGAUAGUAGUAUCUUAUUUACAUUUGGUUUCACUUUCUCGUAUUUCAAACUUAACAACUUUUAUAGUAUUAUUAUCAGCCAAUUUUUUAAUGUCUGUGAACAAGCAUUUCAAAUCUAGUGCAGUUGUAGUAGGGUUUUAAAAUUUUUAGUUGAAUUAUAUUUUUAAGAGACCAUUUAGCGGGUUUUAUUCUUUCUAAAUUUAUGUUAAAACACUAAGUUCAUGCUUCAGAUUAUACGAUAUUAUCAGUCAAACUGGUUAAUACGGUGAAAACUAUUAAAUGCCAACAACUUCAAGAGAUUCACCAGGCUUUGAUAUAAUACUUUAACUUUUAUUAAGAGAAUGCUUCUGGCUUAUAUUUACAUCUCUGAAUUUGAAUCAGGAAUGAUAAAGUUAAUCUAACAUUCAGACACAUACUCAGUUAUUUCGUCACAUCCAGUUACUGGACGAGUGUCAGGAACAAACUGGAUGAAUUCAGAAGUCAAGUUGAAAUGGAAAAUUAUGAAGUAAUGGAUGCAACUGAAAUUCUGUUAGAUUUGGAGAAUAUUUACUUUAAAAAUUAUCUUUAAAUUCCAGGUUAUAUGUUAUUUAAUAAUGAUAGGAUUUUCAAAAGAGGAAGAUUGGUGGCUUUUUAAAUAAGAGAUGAACUGCAUCCCAUUGGAAAUGAAGACAUAAAAAAUGAUAGUCAAAAUAUUACAGUUGGAGAUUUCAGGACAGAAAUUUAUUAACUGUUAUAGGCCACUUGAUCAGGUUAAUGAAAUGAAUAAAAACCCUAUAACCCGAGUGCUUUUGAAAGGUGGACCUUUCUUUUUCAGUUUGCCCCUUCAGAGAAAAAAUAAAUGAAAUAACAGUUCCUAGAUUUUAUAAUGACAGUUCUAAGACCAUGAGAUGAUAGUUUAUCAUUAUUAAACUGAGAUGAAAGAUGAUUUGGGAUUAAAAAAAAAAACUUCUUUUAAUUCAAUAUAUGCAUAUUCCUUAAAUGAGGGAAAAGUUAACAGGUACAAACCUAACUGACUUACUAAAGAUAAGAGAAAAUGGAUAGAUACCAUAUGUUCAAGAAGUUUAAAUUGUCAGCUAGAAUGGAAGACUUACAGAACUAUAGGAAAGAUUCCACUAAUUGGAGGAAGUUUUCAUUGAGAUGAGUCAUCAAAUGUGUCAAAUUAAAUCCCUGCAGUGUGGACAAGGAGCUGUAAGAUGUGUGAGAUUCAAUGCUGAUGGGAAUUACUGUCUGACAUGUGGGAGUGACAAGAGUUUGAAACUGUGGAACCCUAUAACAGAAAAACUUCUCCAGAAGUAUUCAGGCCAUGGCUAUGAAGUUCUUGAUGCACAAGGGUCAUGUGAUAAUAGUCAGAUUGUGUCUGGAGGCAUGGACAAACAUGUGUUCUUGUGGGAUGUGAUAACUGCAAAUCCAAUUCGGAAGUUUCGUGGUCAUGCUGGUAAGGUGAAUGCAGUAAAGUUUAAUGAAGAGUCUUCCAUUGUUUUAUCAGCCUCUAUUGAUGGAACAGUUAGAGCUUGGGACUGUCGUAGCCGUAGUAAAGAUCCUGUUCAGGUUAUGGAUGAAGCUACAGACAGUGUGACAUGUUUAGAUGUAUCCAGCCAAGAAAUUCUAAGUGGAUCACUAGACUGUAAAAUCCGUUGUUAUGAUUUGCGUAAAGGAGAGAUAAGAACAGAUUAUUUAGGAAAUUCCAUCACUAGUGUUUCUUUUACCAAAGACUCUCAGUGUAUACUUGCUAGCUGUUUGGACAGUACUUUAAGGUUGAUGGAUAAAGGCACAGGAGAGUUGCUCAAUGAGUACCAAGGUCACAAGAAUACAAAAUACCGUAUAGACAACUGUUUAAGUAAUGAUGACAGUAGCAUCUAUUCUGGAUCAGAAGAUGGAAUUGUUUAUUGCUGGGAUUUGAUUGAUAGAAAACUGCAUAACAAGAUUCAUCAUGAAGGCUCCAAGGUUGUUCAUUCACUAAGCUUUCAUCCAACAAAAGUUUGUUUACUGACUGCUGCAGAGGGUUGCAUUUUUCUCUGGCAAGUUUCAGAUAGUGCAUACUGUGCUUCGUAAGAAGAAGAAGAAACUCAGAUGAAGAGUAGCAGAAAGAAAGUUUGUGCUUCUGCUCAGAUCAGAACAGUUGAGAAAAUUUAAUACUAGGAUCUAGAACUGAAAAAAUUCUGAAAUUCAGAGUCCAAUAAACCAUCUUUGAAUCUUAACCUGACGACAGCUGACUGAACCCCAGAAAUGUUCAAAAGUAUCUCACCUUGAAACCAAGAAGAGGAGGUCUUGAACAACUAGUUACAAACUUGAGAAGCUGUCUACGUUCUUUCUCGUCAAACUCUUCAGCCACCUUCCAGAACAUUUGAAUUACCGGGUGAUCAGCUGUAUAUCCUCCUAACAAUAAUAAAAUAAAAUGUAUAUUAUAGUUUUA